CAGGACACUUAUAUCUGUUCCAAGGGAGAUGAAGAAGCAGAGAAAGGAAGUCACAGAGGAGAGAACAGGUGUUUUCCCUGCUGGGGUCAGAGCUUUAAGAUGUACAGGGGACCACGGCCUAUGAAGAGGAGAUACACACUCGGCUCUUACUGGGAAACCUUUAUCGGAGGCCAAGUGUCCGAGGCGUGUGGCUAUCCCUUCCUGUUUCAAGGAUCUAGCCUGACUUUUUAGACGCUUGAAAUUACUCCGGGAAGAGGCCGAACCAAAAACCAGAGCCAACCCCACACGCAACAGCUGUAGCUACAAGCCAGAGGACGGUCUUCAUCUCAGUCAAUCAAUCAGUCGUAUUUUGGAGCGCUCACAGUCGGCAGAGCACGGAGAGUACAGUAUAAUAGACACAUUCCCUGCCCACGGUGAGUGCGAUCUGGGAAAAGAGUGCUAUUUAGGCAUCCAUCUUCUCCACCUCUCCCUUCUUAGAAACCGACGAUGGGGGCCAGAGUCUCCCGUCAUAAACGAUGGGCAAGUCUGGAUCCGGGCAUGAAGACUUGAGAAGUGAGUCUGUGCGAAGGAAUCGACUAUGGGGCUGGGACCCCUCUCACUCUCUAGCCCCAUCCCUCCGUGUCCCCGCUGGGCCAGUGAGGGCAACAAGACAAGAGUUGGGCAGAAGCAGAAAAUGCUGGGAAAUGCACAAGGGGAUUUUCGGUACAAAAGCUGUUUAGGCCCAAAGGGACCGUGGCCCAAGGCCAAUACUAGGCAGGUGGUGGCCCGGGGGGCGGCUCUGGUGGCCACUGUGACCUCCGCCAUCCUCGAUCACUAGCUCUUUUUAAGGAUUUCUGCCAAGUCCCUCCAUCCCCCGAAGUCUUCUAGGUCGCUCUUCGGUCAGAAACUGGCCUAACCCCAGGAGUCUUCCCCUAGCUAAGGCUGUUUCACCCCCACACCACAGUGAGGUGUGCGUUGGACUUUGGAGGGGGACGUGUAAAAUAGCGGCCACAUGAAGGACGAGGUUUAA